UGCCCUGGUCUAUUGGUUUAGCGACUUUGCCACAAAAGGACACCGAGCUGGUUUGGUAUGACUUGUUCUUAAGGAAGAUCGCUGCCUCACAAAGGAGUGAGCUGUUUGCUUGCCACCUCUUCAGGAACACAUUCUGUGCUGCUCACUUCAGCAAAAUCUGUGCCGGAAGUAGGACAAUGCAGAGAAGAUUCACAUGGCCCCAGCCAAGGAUGAUGUGCAAAUUCACAAGACUUGCCAGAUUUUAACAUUGCGGUCUGAGAAUGCGAUGCAAUAUCAUUGCCCCAAGAUGAAAUGAUGAAAAGGAUAAAUUCAGAGAAACCUGGGAAGACUUAUAAGAACUAAAUGUGUCCAAUGACUGUAGUUUUACGAAGAAAAAAACUGUGAAAGCUGAAGAGCCAGGAUCAAUGAGCAUCGUGACCAGUGAGCACCCCAAGUCUCCAGCACUGACAUGGCACACUACGGGGUGGCGAAGGCAGAUGCGACCGAUGUGGUUUCAUUUCAACUUUAGGGAGAAGAGAAUGAGGUUAAAAGAAAGACCCCCAGAAAACCUACACCUUAUUCCUCCCUCCAGAUCAGAUUAUCUGCUCCCAGUCCUGCUGUCCUGCUCAUCAGCUUGUCUUCCAAAGGUCUUGGCCUCUGGACCUGAGUCCCUUGACCAGGAGAAGAGGAGCUAGUGCAGUGAAGACUUGAGGGGACAAAACUUGGAAGACUUUUGGCUGAUUCUCAGGCAAGGAUCUGUUCAGUUUUGAAUGUAGGCCUCCUGGGAGGACCCUGAAAGGGUCAUAGAGAUUUGGUUAGCUGGAAUGUGU